rnacentral:ncRNA from 1 species
AUCGAAAGAGAAUUGGGUUAAUAUUCUCGAACCAGGACAUGGUGGUGGAUGACAAUGUUAGGAAAUCUAGAGAUGUCAUCGGGGGCCUGGGAAGAGUUAUCUUUUCUUUUUAACGACUUUCCCACCUUGAAAUUGGUUCAACCAAAGAUAGGGUCCAACAUCUGGAAGAGCACCACAUUCCUUGUGGUGUUUGGUGCCCCCUCGACGACCAUUGAAAAUAUGGAGAACCGAGUACCAUCCAUUCCCGAUCAUACUCAUAUCUGCCUCC